AGCUGUGGCUUCUGGAGGAAGGAGAGGCUGGAACAGGGGUGGAGGUGUGUGGGUUCUGGCAGCAUGGCUGAUUCCGGGUGGUGGGGAAAGAGGAGUGCUUAGGAGGAGUCUGGCAUUUGCUGGUUUCUGACACUUCCCUCUUUUUGCCGGCAAGCCCGUCACCCACAGUCAUCUCCUGAGCACCUUCAAUGUGCCGCAGCGGGCACGGAGGUAACGUGGACCUGGACGGUGCCUGUGAGUGAUGCUGGGGGACAAGACGCCACACCUGAGAUGAUCAGCAACAGAGCAGGCAGAAGAAAAGGCGAGGACCCAGGAGGAGGCCUGGUCUUGGGGCCACAGGGACCUGGAAGAUAUGUUUUAGGAUGAUGGAGACAGAAGAUGGAAAAGCGUUCGGAUCCUGAAUGGCUGCUCUGGAGAGCCCCUGGGCCCGCUGCAGACUUUGUUUGAAUGUGGAACUUUUUCUUUGUGGCUGAGAUUUGGAGGUUUGCCUAUCCAGAUGAUUAUGUGACCUGUGCCCCACACUCAGUCCCUUGCAGAAUCUGGCUUGCUUCUUUCUUUUAUGGAGGCUGAAGUACAGUGGCAUGAUGGCAUGAUCUCUGCUCACUGCAACCUCCGCCUCCCAGACUCAAGCAAUUCUCGUGCCUCAGCCUCCCGAGUAGCUGGGAUUACAGGCGUGAGCCACCGCGCCUGGCCUACGUUGUGUUGUCUUUAAGGAUUGUUUUGCUUAUUUUGGGUCCCUUGCAAUUUCAUCCAAAUUUUAGAAUCAGCUCGUCAUUUUCUACAAAGAAGUCAGCUGGGAUUCUGACAGGGAUUGCAUUGAAUCGGCAGGUGAACUUGGAGAGUACUGACAUCUCGGUGAUGUAAAGUCUUCCUAUCUAUGAAUAAAGGACUGUUUUUCCAGUUAUUUAGACCUUCUUUAAUUACUUUCAAGGCUUUUUAUUUUUCAGAGUAUCAGUUUUACCCUUUUUUGUUGUAUUUAUUUCUAAGUUAUUCAUUCUUUU
rnacentral:lncRNA from 10 species